rnacentral:sRNA from 1 species
GGAAAGUGCCCCCUGUGGCGGGAUGGAUAAGACCCUCAGCAAGUCCUAUCUUCCCAGAUCAGAGGGCACUUUCACGUUCCCGGCACGCCGCCCGCAGCCACCCCUAAUGAAGGCGCGAG